GACGAACGCUGGCGGCGUGCCUAAUACAUGCAAGUCGAGCGGAUUGAAGGGAGCUUGCUCCCUGAUAUUAGCGGCGGACGGGUGAGUAACACGUGGGCAACCUGCCCUGCAGAUGGGGAUAACUCUGGGAAACCGGGGCUAAUACCGAAGAAUCGGUUCUUCCGCAUGGAAGAACUCUGAACGACGGUUUCGGCUGUACAUGCAGGAUGCGCCCGCGGCGCAUUAGCUAGUUGGUGGGGGAACGGCCUACCAAGGCGACGAUGCGUAGCCGACCUGAGAGGGUGAUCGGCCACACUGGGACUGAGACACGGCCCAGACUCCUACGGGAGGCAGCAGUAGGGAAUCUUCCACAAUGGACGAAAGUCUGAUGGAGCAACGCCGCGUGAGCGAAGAAGGUUUUCGGAUCGUAAAGCUCUGUUGCGAGGGAAGAACAAGUACGAGAGUAACUGCUCGUACCUUGACGGUACCUCGUUAGAAAGCCACGGCUAACUACGUGCCAGCAGCCGCAGUAA
rnacentral:rRNA from 1 species